rnacentral:rRNA from 1 species
UACGAAGGGGGCUAGCGUUGCUCGGAAUCACUGGGCGUAAAGGGUGCGUAGGCGGGUCUUUAAGUCAGGGGUGAAAUCCUGGAGCUCAACUCCAGAACUGCCUUUGAUACUGAGGAUCUUGAGUUCGGGAGAGGCGAGUGGAACUGCGAGUGUAGAGGUGAAAUUCGUAGAUAUUCGCAAGAACACCAGUGGCGAAGGCGGCUCACUGGCCCGAUACUGACGCUGAGGCACGAAAGCGUGGGGAGCAAACAGG